AAGGUUCAAUCUUCUUGUUCGCUCUGGUCGCGGUUCAUCCGCCUGCAAUGGCGUCGCCAUCGGUCCUCCGCCUGCGCGCCGCCGCCGAAUAUUUCACGCAGGUUCAAGAAAUAAAUGUGGUGCGACUCCCACUCCCGGCUGAGUAGCGAUGAUAGCUACGGUGCCGGCGAAGUUUGCCUUCCGUGCAUGCCGCGGAGUGGGCUCACUCAUCACGGGUCUACAUUCGUGCAUCCGUUCGAAGACCAGGCCGCGGAGUGCGCUCACUGAACACGCGUUGUAUUGAUGGAUUGAUGGUGCCAUGGUGGUACUAAUUGAAACCCAUUCUUUAUUCCUGUAAUUAUACUCCAUCUUGUGAUUAUGACGAUUAAUCGGAGCGUUACUGUCAGCACCAUGUCUUUCUUCACUACUUCCAUUCGGUGCCUCCAUGCUGAUGCGUCGGACACGGUCGGUGGAUGCGGCCUUUGGCAGCUGAUGCGUCGCUCGUCAUUGAUCCCGUGUUAAUUUUCAGUUGCUGCCAAGCUCUAAUGGCUUCCAUCGUGCUUAAAUUUCCUGUGGCGCACAUGCCUCGCCUGCCCUAUAAAUUCUUGUGUUGCCUCAAACUAUCUCCUUACCCUUUCUUACUCGACCAUAACCUCCUGGUCCAAGGGUAUUCUGCUAGGCUGAUUAUCUCUCCUGGGAAUUCCCCAUUUUCCACAUAACAAUUGUACCGUUUCUAAAAUCUGUAAUUAAUCUUUUGCAGGUUGUUUUUACCUUGGUUCUGCACAUUUCAUUCAGUUAAAUCUGGAGUCUGGUUGGAUUUAUUUGAUUGUAAGAUUCUUCACCUCGGUAUUUGCUAUGGCUGGCGGUCAGGUGUGAUCCCUUGCAAACUUUUCAUUUUUCAGUUGGGCCCUAGAUUCAGUUCUGCUACCAGUUUAUCUGCACGCCAUCUGUUUGUCCAGAGACCAGAGUUGGGUCGGGAGUUGUUGCAGGAAUGAUGCUGGUCAUGUGAUUGCAGGAAUGCCGGAAGUAUAUAAGUGUCAGUACUCAUGACCCAUUUAUAGCUGAAGUUCUUGCAUGAAGAGAUGCUAUUUUGUUGGUCACCUCAUGGGUAUGACACAGUACUCAUGGAAACUGAUUGCCAGACUUUAGUCGCUUUGAACUGAAACAGAAUUCGUCCUGUGUCCACUUCCUCAGGGAGAUUAAAGAAACUAGCCGUCUCCAGCCUAAGGGCUGGCGCUUCACCAGGCAAGAAGGGAAUAAAUCAGCACCUUAAUGCGCCCGUGAAACUCUUACUUUAAAUUCUGCAGCUAUGACCUUUAGAGUUUACCCUGUUUUUUUCGUUGAUCCUGUUCAAUUAGAACGUAUGUUCUCUAUGAAAUAAACGGCCGAGGACGAUUCUCAGAAAAGAAUUGCUCAUAUGUGUUUACUAUAGUAGCUUAUUGUUCUUAA